rnacentral:rRNA from 1 species
AGUGAACGCUGGCGGCAGGCCUAACACAUGCAAGUCGAGCGAGCGGCGGACGGGUGAGUAAUGUAUGGGGACUGCCCGAUAGAGGGGGAUAACUACUGGAAACGGUAGCUAAUACCGCAUACUAUCGGAUAACCCAUAUGGGAUUAGCUAGUAGGUGAGGUAAUGGCUCACCUAGGCGACGAUCCCUAGCUGGUCAGAGAGGAUGAUCAGCCACACUGGGACUGAUACACUGCCCAGACUCCUGCGGGGGCAGCAGUGGGGAAUAUUGCACAAUGGGCGCAAUCCUGAUGCAGCCAUGCCGCGUGUAUGAAGAAGGCCCUAGGGUUGUUAAGUACUUUCAGUCGGGAGCCGUUACAGACGUAAGAAGCACCGGCUAACUCCGUACGAGCCGCCGCGGUAAUUC